rnacentral:lncRNA from 1 species
AAGAGAGUAGCCUUUCACAUCAACAGAGCAAACACGCUCCAGUAACUUGGUAGCAACAUCAGCAUGCAAAGCAAUAGAGAACUCAUCUGGCUCGAAACAUGCCAGCACCCUCUCAACCAGGGGACCCAGCUUCAUGGUUUUCAUGUCAUACCCAACUGCUUCAAAGCUAGCAUAGCUAAAGCCAUCUUCCGGGGUAAUGUGAAUGGUUGAGAGUGCAGCUCCUUCAAUUGAAUUCAUGGAAUAACCACAGGGUUCAAACUCAAAAUCGCAUAUCUCAGAAUUGGGGAGGAUCUUCCUUAUCCCAGAUCGAACAGUCAUAUGAGCAGCCGAGCUUCCUUCAGUCUUGUAAAAGACAGAUGCCUUCUCCCUGUCCAAACCAGUCAUACACAUCUCAAGAGUGUAAACAGGGUCAUUAGACUGAAUAGGUCCUGCAGAGGCAGAGUAAACAUGCCAUUUCUGUGCUUUGUCAGGACUGCCCAUAAUCACAGCCUUGCUACCGGCAGCAAGCUUUCCAAAAUAGCCAUCGAGGACAGCAACUUCUUCAGAAAAGUGACGGUGAGGAAACGACUGAGCGCCAGGGAAAAUGAAGCUCCCACGGGUAUACCUCACGUCUUGUACUUUGAGAGACAGGGUCUCAGCCAACUUUAGGAUGGGCGGAAUUGCGAGAAGCAACUUUGUGGUGCCACAGGUUUUGAUGAUUAUCUUGUAAGAAUAAACAAAGAGGCUCGACUCGGAGAGGACAUAAGAAUCAACAUCGUCAUUUGAUAGGGAAUCAACAAUGGUGCACUCAGCAGGUCCGAGAAUCUCAUCCAAUUGUGCCUUUGAGAGAGAUCGAAGUCCUUUUCCGUUGGGAUCAGCAAACAGACCAGGCUCGAAGAAAGAAAUUUCAAGCCUCUUCUCGAAACCUUCAAAACCAAUGGCAGAGACAGGCAAGGCCAUAUCCAUGAUGAAAAAUGUUCACAGCAGCAAAAGAAGUUAAAGAGGAAAAUGUUCCGAGCAAUGAGCACAAAAGCAGAAAGUAGAAAAGGAAGGAAGAAAAGGAGUGAGGGCGCAAAAGAAACUGAAAGCAGAAAUUUUUUUUGUUUUUUUUUUGGGUUGCGUCUAUU